AGCAGCCGCGGUAAUUCCAGCUCCAAUAGCGUAUAUUAAAGUUGUUGCAGUUAAAAAGCUCGUAGUUGAAUUUCGGGAUCAAUAUGUUGGUCGUACCUUGGUACGUACUGGCGUCAUUGGUUUCUACCUUCUGAAGAACCUCGAUGUCAUUAAUUUGGUGUCUUGGGGAAUCAGGACUGUUACUUUGAAAAAAUUAGAGUGUUUAAAGCAGGCUCACGCUUGAAUACAUUAGCAUGGAAUAAUGAAAUAGGACGUUUGAUUCUAUUUUGUUGGUUUCUAGGAUCGACGUAAUGAUUAAUAGGGAUAGUUGGGGGCAUUAGUAUUCAAUUGUCAGAGGUGAAAUUCUUGGAUUUAUUGAAGACUAACUACUGCGAAAGCAUUUGCCAAGGAUGUUUUCAUUAAUCAAGAACGAAAGUUAGGGGAUCGAAGACGAUCAGAUACCGUCGUAGUCUUAACCAUAAACUAUGCCGACUAGGGAUCGGAUGAUGUUAAUUUUUUAAUGACUCAUUCGGCGCCUUACG
rnacentral:rRNA from 1 species